UACGUAGGGGGCUAGCGUUGUCCGGAAUCAUUGGGCGUAAAGCGCGUGUAGGCGGUUCGGUAAGUCCGCUGUGAAAGUCGGGGGCUCAACCCUCGAAUGCCGGUGGAUACUGUCGGGCUAGAGUGCGGAAGAGGCGAGUGGAAUUCCUGGUGUAGCGGUGAAAUGCGCAGAUAUCAGGAGGAACACCAAUUGCGAAAGCAGCUCGCUGGGACGCUACUGACGCUGAGACGCGAAAGCGUGGGGAGCAAACAGG
rnacentral:rRNA from 1 species